CCUACGGGUGGCAGCAGUAGGGAAUCUUUCACAAUGGGCGAAAGCCUGAUGGAGCAACGCCGCGUGCAGGAUGAAGGCCUUCGGGUUGUAAACUGCUUUUAUAAGCGAGAAAUAUGAUGGUAACUUAUGAAUAAGGAUCGGCUAACUACGUGCCAGCAGCCGCGGUAAUACGGAGGAUCCGAGCGUUAUCCGGAUUUAUUGGGUUUAAAGGGUGCGUAGGCGGAAUAUCAAGUCAGCGGUAAAAAUUCGGGGCUCAACCCCGUCGUGCCGUUGAAACUGAUGUUCUUGAGUGGGCGAGAAGUAUGCGGAAUGCGUGGUGUAGCGGUGAAAUGCAUAGAUAUCACGCAGAACUCCGAUUGCGAAGGCAGCAUACCGGCGCCCAACUGACGCUGAAGCACGAAAGCGUGGGUAUCGAACAGGAUUAGAUACCCCAGUAGUC
rnacentral:rRNA from 1 species